rnacentral:rRNA from 1 species
GACGAACGCUGGCGGCGUGCUUAACACAUGCAAGUCGAGCGGUAAGGCUCCUUCGGGAGUACACGAGCGGCGAACGGGUGAGUAACACGUGAGCAAUCUGCCCUUCACUUUGGGAUAACCACCGGAAACGGUGGCUAAUACCGAAUACGACCACUUCAGGCAUCUGAUGGUGGUGGAAAGUUCCGGCGGUGAAGGAUGAGCUCGCGGCCUAUCAGCUUGUUGGUGAGGUAAUGGCUCACCAAGGCUUCGACGGGUAGCCGGCCUGAGAGGGUGACCGGCCACACUGAGACUGAGACACGGCCCAGACUCCUACGGGAGGCAGCAGUGGGGAAUAUUGGACAAUGGGCGAAAGCCUGAUCCAGCAACGCCGCGUGAGGGAUGACGGCCUUCGGGUUGUAAACCUCUUUCAGCGGGGACGAAGCGAAAGUGACGGUACCCGCAGAAGAAGGACCGGCCAACUACGUGCCAGCCGCCGCCGUAACAC